rnacentral:sRNA from 10 species
AAGUGAAAUAUCCCGCCGAUGCGGGAUGUGAAAAUGUUUGCCUUNGCGCAAACGUGAAAUAUUGCUCCUUCGUCGCAAUGUGAAAUGAAAU